rnacentral:lncRNA from 10 species
AAAGAGACAAGUUUUAUCCGUGGACCCAAAACUCCAGAGCCGGUCACGGACUGAGAAGGCAGGCUUCCCUUGGUUUUUAAUCAUUGCAGGGACACCUCUCUGAUUAUUCACCCACAUUUCAAAGGUGUCAGACCACACAGGGAUGCCUGCCUUGGUCCUUCACCCUUAGCAGCAAGUCCCGCUUUUCUGGGGGAGGGAUAAGUACCCCAACCCCUUCUCUCCGUGUCUCUACCCCUUCUCUGCUUUUCUGGGGGAGGGGCAAGUACCCCUCAACCCCUUCUCCUUCACCCUUAGCGGCAAGUCCUACUUUUCUGGGGAAGGGGCAAGUAACCCAACCCUUUCUCUCCAUGUCUCUACCCCUUCUCUGCUUUUCUGAGGGAGAGGCAAGUACCCCUCAACCCCUUCUCCUUCACCCUUAGCGGCAAGUCCUGCUUUUCUGGGGGAGGGGCAAGUACCCCAACCCUUUCUCUCUGUGUCUCUACCCCUUCUCUGAUUUUCUGGGGCAAGGGCAAGAACCCCUCAACCCUUUCUCCUACCCCUCAGCGGCAAGUCCCACUUUUCUAGGGGAGAGGCAAGUAUCCCAACCCCUUCUUUCCAUGUCUCUACCCCUUCUUUGCUUUUCUGGAGGAGAGGCAAGUACCCCAACCUCGUAUCUCUGUGCCCCAAUCCCUUAUUUCCAUGCCCCGAACUCGUAUCUCUGCACCCCGACCCCUUCUCUGCUUUUCUGGAGGGCAAGAAACCCCCACCCCUUCUCUGUGUCUCUACUCUUUUCUCUGGGCUUGCCUCCUUCACUAUGGGCAAGCUUCCACCUUCCAUUCCUCUUUCUCCCUUAGCAUGUGUUCUUAAAAACUUAAAACCUCUUCAACUCUCACCUGACCUAAAAUCUAAGUGUCUUAUUUUCUUCUGCUAUGCCGCUUGACCCCAAUACAAACUUGACAGUAGUUCCAAAUAGCCAGAAAACGGCGCUUUCAAUUUUUCCAUCCUACAAGAUCUAAAUAAUUCUUGUCGUAAAAUGGGCAAAUGGUCUGAGGUGCCUGAUGUCCAGGCAUUCUUUUACACAUCAGUCCCUUCCUAGUCUCUGUGCCCAGUGCAACUCGUCCCAAAUCUUCCUUCUUUCCCUCCCACCUGUCCCCUCAGUCCCAACCCCAAGCAUCGCUGAGUCUUUCUAAUCUUCCUUUUCUACAGACCCAUCUGACCUCUCCCCUCCUCACCAGGCCAAGCUAGGUCCCAAUUCUUCCUCAGCCUCCGCUCCUCCACCCUAUAAUCUUUUUAUUGCCUCCCCUCCUCACACCUGGUCCGGCUUACAGUUUCGUUCAGUGACUAGCCCUCCCCCACCUGCCCAGCAAUUUACUCUUAAAAAGGUGACUGGAGCCAAAGGCAUAGUCAAGGUUAAUGCUCCUUUUUCUUUAUCCCAAAUCAGAAGCUUUUAGGCUCUUUUUCAUCAAAUAUAAAAAUCCAGCCCAGUUCAUGGCUCGUUUGGCAGCAACCCUGAGAAGCUUUACAGCCCUAGACCCUAAAAGGUCAAAAGGCCGUCUUAUUCUCAAUAUACAUUACCCAAUCUGCUCCCGACAUUAAAUAAAACUCCAAAAAUUGGAAUCUGGCCCUCAAACCCCACAACAGGACUUAAUUAACCUCACCUUCAAGGUGUACAAUAAUUUAAAAAAGUUGCAAUUCCUUGCCUCCACUGUGAGACAAACCCCAGCCACAUCUCCAGCACACAAGAACUUCCAAACGCCUGAACCACAGCAGCCAGGCAUUCCUCCAGAACCUCCUCCCCCAGGAGCUUGCUACAAGUGCCAGAAAUCUGACCACCAGGCCAAGGAAUGCCUGCAGCCCAGGAUUCCUCCUAAGCUGUGUCCCAUCUGUGCAGGACCCCACUGGAAAUCAGACUGUUCGACUCACCUGGCAGCCACUCCCAGAGCCCCUGGAACUCUGGCCCAAGGCUCUCUGACUGACUCCUCGGCUUAGCAGCUGAAGACUGAUGCUGCCUGAUCACCUCAAAAGCCCUGUAGACCACCACAGACGCCGAGCUUCGAGUAACUCUCACAGUGGAAGUGCUGUGCUGCCUUCUGAAUUCUCCUACAAAAAGCAGUGGCCAGGUCGUAUGGUCCUUACAUUCCAGGAAAUUGUAAAGCUCUUCAAACUCUUCAAAUUAUAAAACUCUUCUCUUGAAGACAACCCCUUUUCUUGGCAAAGAGGACCUAACUGAAUGUGUUGAGAUACCCAUGAAUCUGCUCCUCUGAUCACAGUUCUGAUGACAUGCAAAAACUACCUUGGAUCAAGAGAAGCAUCUCCAUGAGGGCCUAAUGCCUAUAAGAAAAUAUCAGAGCGGGGACAUUCUGAAGGUUUGUAUCUGACCUAUCUUUGGUUUUAAUCACUGAAGUUCUCGACGUUUUAAUAAGUUGAAGGUGCUGGGUCACAGUCUAACUUAAUAAGGCCCGCCACAGAGAGUUGGUCACCUCUGAUUGCUCCCAUAAGUCUUAGCACAUCUGGUACACUGUCCUUGGUUGAGAAAUGUUUUCCAUAACUUUUCUCUUGUUCACUACCCUGCAUAUAAAUUGUUUUUAUUAACCUGAGAAUGAUACAGCACUGUAUAUUUGUGUGAGCUUUUGCCAUUUUCAGCUUUAUCCUAUGGAAAGAGAGUUGAUUGUUUCCUCCAAAAUGGAAUUAAACACUGUUUAUCA